rnacentral:sRNA from 1 species
CUCUCCCAGGGUCUAACCCGAGGACUAGCCCUCUCCCCGCAGCGCGGGGAGAGGGGACUGAAGACGCCGCCGCGAGUCUCUUCUCCCCGCAAGCGGGGAGAAGGUGC